UGGCUGACAGAGGCCCAAGGAGGUCUGAAGGAGGCCUGGGACAUAUUCCAGGAUUUGCACCAGGUCCAUACUGCCCAGCCAGGCUGCUGAAGGAGCUGCUUGUCCAGACAUGAUCAGGAAGCUGCUGGUCAAAUCGAGAGAAGUACACAUCUCUCCUAUCUUUGAAGGUAGUCUAAGGGUCUAGAGCAUUCCAAGCAAAAAGAAGAAGAUGCUCCAUAAAUGUGAAUGAUGUCCUCUCCCACACCUCAUCACGGCCUACAGGAAAUGGGGAUCUGUGGAGGUCAAAGUGUGCACGAGUGAGCUAGGCAGCUUCGCCUUGCUAUCAUUGGAGACAACAAACCUAGAAAGAGGAAAAUUCACGUCAGGUCAGUUGGGGCCCUCCAGUCCACAGAAAGCUUACCCAGGCUCAGAGCCCACGGCAGGCAGCAUCCCCAGGCCUUGCACGGCAGAGCAGAAUUUCUCAGCCAGAGACCAGCAAUCCAGGAAGUGCAGGAUCGGCGAGUCCUGCAAGUCCUUUCCAAGGACGCAGCACAGUGGCCACAGGCCUCCCACGAGACCCCACGGUGCAAGGGCCCCAGACCUCCUGGGGGUGCACAUCUGCUGGACACUUAUGCAACGGGGCACUGAGGCCCGCUCCAGUGGAGGAGAAAGCACGUUUACGACUGCCUGCCGGGGGCUAAGGUUACAGCAGACUUAGUCCUAGCCAGAGAGCAGGCGAGUCUGGACAAGUGAAGAGCAUACAUUUUAACUCAUGUGGGAAUGCAGGAAGAGCAACACCGUGCCUGUCUCCCUUUCUGCUGCUAUUGGAGAAGUGCUUGGUGAGUGGCUAAUACGUAUAUGUAUAUAUGUGUGUGGGUUUUUAUUACUGUAGAUAUAUUUCCCAGGUAUAAAGUGUCUCCCACGGAUUAGACUUUGUGAAUGAACCUUUAAAUGGACAAUAUGCUUUCAACAUUUCAGAACAAACCUUUACACCUAGUUAUCAAAUGGCAGAGAUGCAUUCUUCUAGCUAUUUCUCCUGUCAGGCAAGGUAAGAAAUAUAACAUGAAGAGUUGAAAUUAGACCUACUGGGACAUUUUCCUUCUCUGCAGUCAUCUGGGAGCACAAUAAGCCAGGUUCUGACGCCACACCAUACAUAAGAUUCUUUUUGUCUGUUAAUCAUCACAGAAUAAAAAUCAAAACCUCACAGGGGGCCACAGGUGGAGCCUGGGUGAAGCAGAGACAGUAGAACGCUUGUGAAGAUAUGUUGGAAGGUGGCGAUGUGUUCUUGGAACUCGGUUGAACUUUCCAAGUUCUGUAGGACUCUUCUACUUGAUAACAGAGUGCUGCAAGGUGCACAUGAGCUGUGUGGCCCUCGUCAGAUAAUGAUAAUUGGUGAAAGGCAGGUCAUGUCUUCUGAAUUUCCUGAAAACUGUAACCAAUUUUUCACUUUUCUUCAGAAAGUGAAAGCUCUUUUGAGGAAAGAAGUCCUUUUUAUUUUUGAAUGGAAAUGUCUUUGGUUCCCAAGAAGCCUUGGCUUAGGUUAUUCUUUUGUGAUUUCCUAAGCUUCAUGAAGAUUUCCAUGGGCAGUUUAAUGCCUGGAUGAUCACAAAGCCUUUUUGCUGCACCUGAGUAACACCCUCUUUGAUGGGGCCUGAUGUGAAGCUAACAGGUCUAGGCAUGUGCUGGAAGGGAGUGGAAGCAGGACAGCCGCAUGGCCAAAUGCGAAAAAUGCCUUCAUAAACCAAACAAGUGCACUGCACAGAGCUCAGCUUCGCUUUAAAGACUUUGCAACAAAUUUAGCCACAAAGCCCCCCAGAGUACCCAAGGCAGGAGGCUCCUGUGCUUACCUGAUGUUUCCAGUCAGAGUCUCCAAAUAUGUGUCUUCUGGACUUCUCUCAGUGCCUAGCAGGUCCCACAUCUCCCACGGGAAUAUCGGGUUAGAGGCAGCGAGUACUCUGGGUGACUGAGUGCUGUCCAAGACCCAGCGUAAUGUCAAAGCGUGUCCCUGGAUGAAUUCUUGUUAAAAGUUCCUUUUUAAAAAACGUAUCAAAAUGAAGCAAAGUCACUCAUAGGCAAAAUUAAAAACACCAUGUAAGGUGUGGAGAGAUAAACAAAAUGAAAGAAACACAAAGUUCCAUCCCCUGAGCACUUCAUCAGUCUCACUUUUACCUUCAAGCCUUCUUGGUAUUCGAAAUGCCAUGGAAUUCCUUUGCUACAAGCAGUUGUCUGACAUCCCCUAGGAUUCUAAGUGCUCCACCUUGUUUAGUGUACAAUGACUGAGACAACUCACUAAGGCUCAGCUUGGCAUUCUCUGAACAACUCAAUAUCAAUGUAUAUUAUAACUCUGAGAGGCCUCCUUCUGUCAGGCGAUCCAGCAGAGAUGCACCGUGUGUGAACCAGUUCUGCUCCACCGUCCAUCAUGACUGUUGCACUUCUGCCUAACAAAGCACAGCUUCAUUGACCUUAAUAAUCCACUGUCACACAGGAAGCUGAUGGAAUCCAGCCUAUCUGAGUUGACUGUAUCACAAAGUUACAAAAGUAGAAGUUUUAAAUGGAUAUGGAAUGGUGCCAUGGGCCUAGAUAGGGCUAGCACACACACGAGAAAGAUGACAAUAUAAAUUCUUCAGUACAAAAUAAAAAUUGUGAUUGUGAAAUAUGUUUUAGAAAUAUUGAUAUGUGUAAACUAUGAGAAAAUAUUUUCUUGUACUGAUUCUCCAAGAAAAAGGAGUUCACGUACUGCUGUGUUGUCAAUGGCAGGGGGUCACAGAAUGAUGGUGACUUCACGUGCCAAGAAAAAUUCUAAAGUUUAAUGAUAAGGAAGGAGGUUAUCACGUAGCAAGGAAAAGCUCCUUUAUUACAUACAAAAGGCUCACUGGUACCUUCAGAAAUAUGCAUGUUUAGGGGUACUACCAUCAUCCAAGGAAGGAAGUCGGAAUAACCCUGAGUUUCAGAUCUUUCCUAGAAGUGAGAUUUCAGAGACUGGAAGUUCUCACUCUUUGCUUUAAGUGUCAUAAAAAAAGAUCACAAUACAUUCUAUUCCUUGACUCUUGCAUGCCAUUGAUAAUGAGUCAUUCCAUCAUCUUUAAUGUCUAUACUCAGGAAUCUCCUGAUAUUCUUGUGGAGUCUCAUUUGCAUAUAAGGAGUGAUUUUUCUCUUGUUGCUUUAGAAUUUUCUCAUUGUCUUUGAUUUCUGACAAUUUGAUUACAAUAUUCCUUGGUGUAGACUUAGUUAUGCUCAUCACACCAUGUUCUAUGGACCUAGGAAUCUUUAUGUGGCCUCUCAUGUUACCCUGAGUACAGUCUAUAUAUGAAAUAUAUUUUAUGUAGUAAUAUUUUAUAGUAUGUGCAAAACUGUGAAAGUAACAUUUCCCCUUUAUUUGAAACAUUUUUGCUAAUAUUCCACCAAAAUAUGCCUUGGUCUUAAAGCCACUCUAAGAGUUCUGAGCUUUUGUUCUAUAAAACAAUAUUCAAAAUGUGGAGUACAGACCAGGAGGGUAAAAGCAUCAUGUAAUCAGUGAGUUAAGUUCCAAACUUGAGCUUCUAAUCAAAACAUAAAGGAGACUUUAAAACACACAUUUGUUUAGUACAAACAAUAUGUUAAUGCUGGCUUUGACUACUGUGAGUAUAAGUAUAUCUAGUGGAUAUUACACAACAAAUUUACUUUAUAAUUCUCAGCAGCCAGGACAAGCGGAGCGUGGCUCAUGGUGCAGAUAAUCGCAUGUUGCUUUGAUUUACUUCUUUUCUUCCUUGCUUGGCUUCCUCAGUUAUUUGUUGCAGUCACUUCUACAUAAUUGCCAAAGUCUGACUAUUGUAUCCAAUUGGGUUUUACAGAAUAUAAUAUGUUUAUGCAAUGUAAGAUUUUAAAGUAUCUUAGAUUUUCAAGACUAUCUUUUCAUAAAAUAAAUGUAUUGGUUAAAAUGAGAACCAACAUAACACAGAGGAAAAUGGACAUAGCAUUUUUCAUGCGCUGUAAGUUUGAUGUCUUUUCUGUGUGUUCGUGUGUAAACGCUCUCAUGUCUGCAAUCGGCUACAUCACAAUCACAGUUAACAAUGAGGUAAUCGCAUUUUCUACUCCAAGAAUUUAAGCCCAUGAUUUGCCUUAAGAACAGUGAAUUGAGAACAAUGCAUUGCUCCUGUCAGACUAAUAAAAAUCCUCUCCAUCACAGGCCUGAGACUAAAAUGUAGAAAUAAUCAAAUUCAGUACUUAGUUUGUUUCUGCUUCUAAUAAAUAAUACACCAGCUGGGUUAAUGAUAAGGUAAGAGGCUUAGUUUUGAUCAUUAUUCUGGCCCAAAGUCAAAGGAUGGCGACUGAGGAUGUCCUUCUCCUGGAAGAAGAGUAAUGACCCAGAGGUUACCAUGGCAGGAAGCAUGGGAAUAUGUGUACCCCGCUUCCUGUUCCUCUCUCUUCUCAUAAAGUCACCGGUAUUCAUCACAGACCUCCAUUCUGAUGGAAUUACCUAACCCUACAGCUCCCAAAUUCCUAAAGUCCCACCUCUGAACACUAUAGGUAAAUUAAGUUUGCAACUUCUUAAUUCCUCACAAUAGAAGGUAAACUUCCGCAUAAGUUUCUGAGAGAGAAAAUGGACAAAACCACAGCAAUACCAGAACGUAACUCAGUACAACACUAACCAUUGCACAAGGUGUCACUGGUUGACAAUUAUCUGUUAAAUGCAUAGUUGUUUUCUUAAUGAAGUUUUCUGUUUAUAAAUCACACAACACAAUAUUUUUAAAAUACAUUAGGAAGGGCCGGGAAUUUAGCUCAGUGGUUUCGCUGCCUGCCACACAAGCACAAGGACCUGAGUUCAAUCCCCAGUACCAAAAAAAAAAAAAAAUACAUUAGGAAAAUAAAAAUAUUGACAUGUAUUUUAAAAGAAGUGUGUCUGGCUGCCAGCGAGCCUCGUAAUCAUGUUCCUUUAUAGAUGAACUGUAAUUGCUCCUAAAUUUUGAUGAAAUGACC
ensembl:lncRNA